rnacentral:rRNA from 1 species
UUUAAUUGAAGAGUUUGAUCAUGGCUCAGAUUGAACGCUGGCGGCAGGCCUAACACAUGCAAGUCGAGCGGCAGCACAGAGAAACUUGUUU